ensembl:snoRNA
AAGCAACACUCUGUGGCAGACUGUCAAAACCAUCUGACACAAUUUGAGCUUCCUAUAGCAAGGAAGUCUAAACUGCUCCAGAAAUCUCUCUUCUGUUACACAAGCCAUUAUAUUAUACUUAAGCAGU